rnacentral:RNase_P_RNA from 1 species
UCGGACAGUCUGUCGCUUGUAUUCCGUACAAGAGGAAAGUCCGGGCAACACAGAGCAUCCUACUUCCUAACAGAAAGCUGUUCGCGAGAGUAGAGUAAUGCAGAAGAAAAUAACCGCCUUUUUAUAAAGGUAAGGGUGAGAAGGUGGGGUAAGAGCCCACCAGCCGUAUAGCGAUAUGCGGGCUGUGCAUCUUAGGAGUUGUAAGGUCAUGUAUACCGGCAUUAAGGAGGGUUGCUCGCCCCACGUCGGAGGGUAGACCGCUAGAGCCUUAUGGUGACAUCAGGCGUAGAUAAAUGACAGGCGCCUUGCUAGCAAGGAACAGAACCCGGCUUAUCGGCCGACUGC